GACGAACGCUGGCGGCGUGCUUAAUACAUGCAAGUCGAACGGUAAGGCUCCAGCUUGCUGGGGUACACGAGUGGCGAACGGGUGAGUAACACGUGGGUGACCUGCCCUGCACUUCGGGAUAAGCCUGGGAAACUGGGUCUAAUACCGGAUAGGACCGCACCGUGAGGGUGUGGUGGAAAGUUUUUUCGGUGUGGGAUGGGCCCGCGGCCUAUCAGCUUGUUGGUGGGGUAAUGGCCUACCAAGGCGGCGACGGGUAGCCGGCCUGAGAGGGUGGACGGCCACAUUGGGACUGAGACACGACCCAGACUCCUACGGGAGGCAGCAGUGGGGAAUAUUGCACAAUGGGCGGAAGCCUGAUGCAGCGACGCCGCGUGGGGGAUGACGGCCUUCGGGUUGUAAACUCCUUUCACCAUCGACGAAGGGUUUCUGACGGUAGAUGGAGAAGAAGCACCGGCUAACUACGUG
rnacentral:rRNA from 1 species